AGGAGACAGACACAGAGGAGAAGGCCACAUGGAGACGGAGGCAGAGACUGGAGUGAUGCGGCCUCAAGCCCAGGGACGCCUGGAGCCCCCAGGAGCUGGGAGAGGCAGGAAGGAUCCUCCCCUAGAGUCUCAAGAAGGAACCAGACACAACUGCAGUGGGUUGGAUGUUGACGUCCAAAAGAUCUGUCCAUGUCCUAAGCCCCAGAACCUCGGAAUCGGACCUCAUUUGGAUAAAGUUUCUUUGCAUAUGUAAUUAAGGAUCUGGAGAUGGGAUCAUCCUGGAGUAGGAUGGACCCUAAAUGCAAUGACAGGUGUCCUUCUAAGAGACAGAAGGGGAGACACAGACACAGAGGAGGAGGCCACGUGGAGAUGGAGGCGGAGACUGGAGUGAUGUGGUCAGAAGCCCAGGGACGCCUGGAGCCCCCAGGAGCUGGGAGAGGCGGGAAGGAUCCUCCCCUAGAGCCCCCAGAUGGAACACAGCCCUGAGAUGCCUUGAUCUCAGACUUCCGGUCUGCAGGACAGGGAGAGGAUAAAUAGCAAGCUAUCUGGCAAAUCAGAAGCACAGCUAUCAUGAUGUCCUGCAGGAGGAGCUGUAGGGUGGUUAUGUUUUGUUUUUUUAAAAACUAGAAAAGCAUCCGGGAACCUCCGGGGGAGGGGUGUGGAGGUCCCCAGCACCUGCGCCCACAGGCCUGGCCGCUGUCGGAUGGUGCUGAGUUACAGCACGUCAGGUGUCUCUUUUUUUAUUUUUAUUUAUUUUGAGAUGGAGUUUUGCUGUGUUGCCCAGGCUGGAGUGCAGUGGCGUGAUCUCGGCUCACGGCAAGCUCCGCCUCCCGGGUUCAAGCGAUUCUCCUGCCUCAGCCUCCCAAAUAGGUGGGAUUACAGGCACCCGCCACCAUGCCCGGCUAAUUUCUGUAAUUUUAGUAGAGACGGGGUUUCACCAUGUUGCUCAGGCUGGUCUCAAACUCCUGACCUCAGGUGAUCCACCCACCUCAGCCUCCCAGAGGGCUGGGAUUCCAGGCAUGAGCCUGGGCACGUGGCCCAGGCGUCUCCUGUCAAUCCGUCCUGGCCUCAGCAGCUGCCACCUGGAAGUUCUCCUUCAAGUCUAACCUAAGGCCGCCCUGUGAUGGCUCUUGGGUCAGUUCCUUCCAUGACCUCGGCACCGUGGAUGCCCAUGAAUGCUGAUCUCGGCUGUUCCCCAUCUCCACUCCCCUCCCGUCUCGGCUACUUGCACCGAUGAUAACUUCACACAGCCGUCCCCCUGUUUAUUUUUAUUUAUCAUUAUUACUAUCAUUGUCUUUUUUUUUUUUGAGAUGGAGUUUCGCUCUUUUCCCGCAGGCUGGAGAGCAAUGGUGAGAUCUCAGCUCACUGCAACCUCUGCCUCCCAGGUUCAAGCGAUUUUCCUGCCUCAGCCUCCUGAGUAGCUGGGAUUACAGGUGCCCACCACCACGCCUGGCUCAUUUUUGUAUUUUUAGUAGAGAUGGGGUUUCGCCGUGUUGGCCAGGCUGGUAUCAAACUCCUGACCUCAGGUGAUCCGCCAGCCUCAGCCUCCCAAAGUGCUGGGAUUACAGGUUCCCACCACCACACCUGGCUCAUUUUUGUAUUUUUAGUAGAGAUGGGGUUUCGCCGUGUUGGCCAGGCUGGUAUCAAACUCCUGACCUCAGGUGAUCCGCCAGCCUCAGCCUCCCAAAGUGCUGGGAUUACAGGCGUGAGCUACUGUGCCCAGCCUUGUCCACCUGUUUGGAGAUGCCCUCGUGUCUGUGUGGACCUGCAGAGAGACACUCACAGGCAGACCCACGGACGCAGACACAGACACACAGGCACACACACACACAUACCCAUCCAGAUGCACAGACAUGCAGACACAAAGGCACACAUGCAAGCACACACCACAAGACAUGCACACACGGACACAUGCAUGGACACACAGAUACACUGACAGGUACACACAUGGACACAGAGAUACACCAACAAGACAGGCACACACAGAGACGGACACAGAGAUACAGUGACAGGCACACGUGCGCACAGAGACACAGACAUGCACAGAUGGGCACACUCACGCACGGACACACAGUGAUACACCAACAGGCGCACACAGACGCAGACAUGCACAGAUGGGCACACACACACGGACAUACAGAUACACCAACAGACAGGCACACACACAGACGCAGACCUGCACAGAUGGCACACACACGCAUGGACACAGAGAUUCACCAACAGGCACACGCACACAGACGCAGACAUGCACAGAUGGGCACACACAUGCACGGACACACAGAGAUACACCAACAGACAGGCACACAGACGCACACACACAGACAUACACACAUAUACCCACAUAGACGCACAGAAACACACAUACCCUCACAGACACAUAUGCAAGCACACACCACAGAGUUGCACACACACAAACGCAGAUGCAGACACACACAUUCUUACGCACACACAAGGACAUACCAGUCAUGCACACACAGACACAUGCACACACAGACGCACACACAAGCACAGCAGUGACAUGCACACACACCAUGCACACACAUGCACACACACAGACAUGUACACAUAUAUCCACACAGACACACAUACUACCCUCAGACACAUACAUACCACAGAGGUGCACACACACACACGGACUCAGACACACGUAGACAUUCUGACGUACAGACACGCAUGCAAGGACAUACCACACAGACACGUGCACACACAGACUCAGAAACACACAGAGACACACAAGCACAGCAGACGAUCACAUAUCCACACAGACACACACCAUGCACGUAGAUGCAGACACACAGACAAACACACACAGACACAUGCACACAGACACACAACCACAGCAGUCACAUAUGCACACAACCACUGGCACACAGCAUACACACAGAUGCAGACACAGGCACACAGAGAUGCACACACACAGACAUAUACCUUCACAGAAACAUAUGCAACCACACACCACAGAGACGUUCACACACAUGCACACAGACACCCAGAGACAGUUUCACGCAGAGACACACACACGGACAUACUACACACAGACAUUUGCACACACAGAGACAGACACACAAGCACAGCAGUCACAUAUGCACACAACAUACACAUAGACACAGCAUGCACACAGAUGCAGACAUGUACACACAGACACAUGCACACAGGGACACACACAACCACAGCAGUCACAUA